rnacentral:rRNA from 1 species
AUUGAACGCUGGCGGCAGGCCUAACACAUGCAAGUCGAGCGGACGAAGGGAGCUCGCUCCUGGCUUCAGCGGCGGACGGGUGGGUAAUGCAUAGGAAUCUGCCUGGUAUUGGGGGAUAACGUCCGGAAACGGGCGCUAAUACCGCAUCCGUCCUGAGGGAGAAAGUGGGGGAUCUUCGGACCUCACGCUAUCUGCUGAGCCUAGGUCGGAUUAGCUAGUUGGUGGGGUAAAGGCCUACCAAGGCGGCGAUCCGUAACUGGUCUGAGAGGAUGAUCAGUCACACUGGAACUGAGACACGGUCCAGACUCCUACGGGAGGCAGCAGUGGGGAAUAUUGGACAAUGGGCGAAAGCCUGAUCCAGCCAUGCCGCGUGUGUGAAGAAGGUCUUCGGAUUGUAAAGCACUUUAAGUUGGGAGGAAGGGCAGUAAGUUAAUACCUUGCUGUUUUGACGUUACCAACAGAAUAAGCACCGGCUAACUUCGUG